rnacentral:rRNA from 1 species
AGAACGAAUCUCCGCAACCGAUAUCUUGGCUCCCGUCGCGAUUAAAAACGUUACCAAAUGCCAUAGUUGGUGUUAAUUGCAGAAUCCCCUUAAUCUUCCAAUUUUUGAACGCUAUUUGCGCCCCAAGCCCUUCCGCCAAAGGCCCGUUUGCCUGGGCUUUACG